AUUAAACGAAAUCGAAAACUGUUUAUCUACAUUAUCACCAUAAGAAAAUGAUUUCAGAAUCGGAGAGUGACAAAAGUUGUGAGGAAGAGCAAGACGUGGCAAGGAGGCUGGAUGAAGCUUUGAUAGAAAAGAAAAGGCAGUUUCAGAAUUUAAGGAACAUUAAGGGAAGAACAAUAAAACAGCGAAAUACAGAUCAACAACAGAGACUUACUGCGUUCAAGAUAGGAGUCUUAUCAAGAAAAAAAAGAGGUACCUCAAAGAAACAAGCCAUGGUCGGUUCUUAAGUGGCAAAACCAUUGAAAUUCCUUCGACCAAAAACAACUAGACAAUCUGGAUCACAUGAAGUCUCACUGCCAUAAAAGUAUAGGUACUAAGAUUAAUGAGAUGGCAGCGAUUUACAAUGCCUCAGUAAUUUGCUUAAUCCGUGGAACUCAACACAUCAAGUAUUUGUUAGUAAGCGGAGGUGAAAUUAAAUAUUCUAAAUCAAGAAAUGGUAUUCUAAGUGAAAAACUCUGGCAUUGAUAUUGGAACAAAAAACAAAAGAAACGACAGAAGUUAUGUGAGGAGAAUGGCCUAUGGCUUGGGAGAGCCAGUAAAAGAAAAAGAAAAGAGAGAACAGUGGAAAGGACAGAGAAAGAGAAAAGUAUGCAUUCAGAUAAAGAGAGAUUAGAGAACGAAGAAGACGAGGAAGUAUGGGACAAUCGAAUGGGGAAACAGAGAAAGAAAGAAAGACCAUCCAAUAAUGAGAGCGUAGAAAGGGAAGAAGAAAACAAAGAAAGAUUGGACAGUGGAUAAGGGAAUCAGCAAAUAGGAAAAUAACACAACGAGACAGUAGAAAGCGAAGAAGAAAACGACGAAAGAUUGGACAGAGGAAUAUGGAAUCAAACAAUAGGACAAACAAGUAAUGAGAACGUAGAAAACGAAAAAGAAAACGAUGGAAGAUGGAACAGAGGAGUAGGGAAUCAGGUAAAAAAUUAAAAAAAAAUAUACAAACAGGUUUUAGAAAAUUUUAUUUGCAAUAAAACAAAAAAAAAGACAAUCAGAUAAUGAGAGCGUAGAAAGCGAAGAAGAAAACUUUGAAAGGUCGGAAAAAGAAUGGGGGAACAGGUUACCAAUAUAUACAAAAAACAAUUCAAAUUUAAAAUAUUAUUACUUACAACACAACAAGGGUAGUAGGCAAACAGAUAAUGAGACUUUUAAAAACGAAGAAGAAGACGAGGAAGGAAGGAGAAAAGAUAUGGGAAAAAAGGUAACAAACAAAUAAAAAUAAACAUUGCUAUUUAUAACAGGAAAAGGAAAGAAGAAACUUAUAUAAUAAAACAGUACAAAACGAAGUUGACGACGAGGAAGGCAGGAGCAAACUCAUGGGAAAACAGAAAAAAGAAGGAAGGGAAUCAGAUAAUUAAACAGUACAAAACGAAGAAGAAAACGAGGAAGGAUAGGACAAAGAAAUGAAAAAACUGAAUUCUAGUAUUCCUUGCCGUUCGGGAGAUAUUGUCGCGGGUGAAAAGGGAGAUUGGUUAUCUCUUCGCAGAGAUGAGUCAUCCGCUCCUUGGACAACGCUGCGAUCGUGGUGAAGAAAUUAUCGGGAGAAGUCCGCUCUAAGAAAGAU